AGGGUGUAAACGCUGCAGACUUGGUGUUGGAAAUCCUUCGAGGGUAUUCAGUGCCGGAGAGAAGUUGUUAAGUCUGCUACUUGGGGAGUACGUCCGCAAGGAUGAAACUUAAAGGAAUUGGCCGGGGGAGCACCGCAACGGGAGGAGCGUGCGGUUUAAUUGGACUCAACGCCGGGAAGCUCACCGGAUAAGACAGCGGAAUGAUUGCCGGGCUGAAGACUCUGCAUGACUAGCUGAGAGGAGGUGCAUGGCGUAGACGUCU
rnacentral:rRNA from 1 species